GUUUGCAGACGCUCCCUGGCUGGGCUGGGUGGGGCUCGCCCGGAAAAGUGACUUUCGGUUUCGCUUUUCCAGCUUCUGCGCCACAGUCCGGGCUAGUGAAGAUCCCCGACCCCAGACCGAGAUGAGGAGCUGCGGCCUCCUGAACAGUUCCAACGAGCCGGUGCCCCUGCGCAGCGGCUCGGUGACGGUGCUGAUCCGAGGCUUCGUGGCGGACGUGGGCUGUGAGCUGCUCUACAGGAACGAUGAGCCGGGGCCCGUGGAGGCCGUGUUCGUGUUCCCCGUGGACGCCGAGGCGGCCGUCUACGCCUUCCAGGCCCGCCUGGGGGGCGCCUGCAUCCAGGCCCAGCUCCGAGAGAAGAAACAGGCGCAGGAGCUGUACGGGGAUGCGCUGGCUGGGGGGCAGAGCUCGUUCCUGCUGCAGCAGGAGGGGACCGGGGGCGACGUGUUCAGCUGCUCCCUAGGGAAUUUGCCCCCCGGGGAGGAGGCGGCACUGACCCUGCGCUACGUCUGUGAGCUGCCGCUGGAGCCCGAUGGAGCCGCCCGCUACAUGCUGCCAGCCGUGCUGCGCCCCCGCUACACGCCCCAUGGGUGGGACGGGGAGGACGUCACCCAGGGGGUCCCGCGAGUCCCCCAGGGAGAGCUGCCCUACACCUUGAGCCUGAGCGCCACGCUGCAGUCACCCCACGGCAUCGACCGCGUGCUCUCCAACUGCUCCCUCACGCCCCUGAGCUACACGGCCGGGAACCGGACCAGCGCCCAGGUGUCUCUGGCCGAGGCCCCCCCGUGGGACCGGGACAUGGAGCUGCUGGUGUAUUACGCGGAGCCGCACAAACCCAGCGCAGUGCUGGAGGUUGGGUUGCCCGGAGCAGAGCCAGGCUCCCUGAUGGGCGACCCAGCCGUGAUGGUGACCCUGCUGCCCAGCCUGCCUGAGGCGGUGCUGGGCCAGAGCUCAGCCGGGGAGUUCAUCUUCCUGCUGGACCGCUCCGGCAGCAUGGAGUGCCCCAUGGACGACCGAGACCGCUCACCCCAGCGCAUCGACAGCGCCAAGGAGACCCUGGUCCUGCUGUUGAAGAGUUUGCCCCUGGGCUGUUAUUUCAACAUCUACAGCUUUGGGUCUCGGUUCGAGUCCUUCUACCCCUGUUUGUGUUCACGGACGGGGAGGUGGGGAACACCCAGGACGUCAUCACUGAGGUGCAGCGUCACCGGGGGACCCACAGGUGCUUCUCCUUUGGCAUCGGGGAAGGGGCCUCCACGGCUCUGGUCAAAGGCAUCGCCCGGGUAGCAGGGGGCAGCGCCGAGUUCAUCACAGGCCAGGACCGCAUGCAGCCCAAGGCACUGCAGUCUCUGAAGCGGGCCCUGCAGCCGGCCGUGACUGGGAUCUCGCUGAGCUGGGAUCUGCCCCCCGGGAUGGAGGCGGCGCUGCUGGGCCGGGGCCCUGAGGUGAUCUUCCCUGGGCAGCGGUGCCUC